AUCAGCUGCAUCAAAAUGGAGGGAAUUCAAGUCCCGGCUCACAAGGCAUUACAUUAUGCCUUACUUGGAUGACCCUGAAUCCUUGAAGUUUCCUCCGAAUGAUUAUAGAUUCAUCAAUAAAGAUCAUUGGACCCAAUUUGUGGCUGAACGGACAAACCCACAAUUUAUUGAAGUGCGUAGGUUGGCACAAGCUAGGCGUGCAAAGAAUAAGUAUCCCCACCGAAUGUCCCGUAAGGGAUAUGCUGGGUUGGAGGAAGAGCUGUCUACAACAAUGGAGGAGGAGGAAAUUGAUAGAGCGACACUAUGGAUCGCUGGACGAUAGACCAAGCAGGGAACCUUCAAGGAUGAAGGGACGAAGCAGUGCGCUGAAAAAAUUAGGGACUUGAAGGAGAAGGUUGCUAGUGGAGAAUUAAGCACUAGUGGAAGUAAUGAUGUGUUAACCUUGGCUUUGGGCACUCCUGAGCAUGGUGGUAGAGUGCGAGGGGUGGGAGCUUAUGUGAAUCCCUCAUCUUAUUUUCACACCCCUAAACGUAGAAGGGAGAGCAUCCAAGAGACUAUUCGAAUCAGUGUGCAAAAAAUACUAGAAGAAGAAAAAGAUAAGAUCAUUGAAGAGGCCAAGCAACAGGCAAUUAAAGAAGAGAGGGCAUUUUGGGUUCAUAAGCUUGCACAGCUGGAAGCAAAGGUAGACGCAA